rnacentral:rRNA from 1 species
CCGGCGCACGGUGAGUAACGCGUAUGCAACUUACCUAUCAGAGGGGGAUAGCCCGGCGAAAGUCGGAUUAAUACCCCAUGAAACAGGGGUCCCGCAUGGGAAUAUUUGUUAAAGAUUCAUCGCUGAUAGAUAGGCAUGCGUUCCAUUAGGCAGUUGGCGGGGUAACGGCCCACCAAACCGACGAUCAGUAGCCGACCUGAGAGGGUGACCGGCCACAUUGGGACUGAGACACGGCCCAG